rnacentral:rRNA from 1 species
AAGUCCCGUAACGAGCGCAACCCUUGUCAUUAGUUGCUACGAAAGGGCACUCUAAUGAGACUGCCGGUGACAAACCGGAGGAAGGUGGGGAUGACGUCAAGUCCUCAUGGCCCUUAUGGGUAGGGCUUCACACGUCAUACAAUGGUGCAUACAGAGGGCCGCCAACCCGCGAGGGGGAGCUAAUCCCAGAAAGUGCAUCGUAGUCCGGAUCGCAGUCUGCAACUCGACUGCGUGAAGUUGGAAUCGCUAGUAAUCGCGGAUCAGCAUGCCGCGGUGAAUACGUUCCCGGGUCUUGUACACACCGCCCGU